GCGUGAGUGAAGAAGGCCUUAGGGUUGUAAAGCUCUUUCAACGGUGAAGAUGAUGACGGUAGCCGUAGAAGAAGCUCCGGCUAACUCCGUGCCAGCAGCCGCGGUAAUACGGAGGGGGCAAGCGUUGUUCGGAAUUACUGGGCGUAAAGGGCGUGUAGGCGGCUUUGCAAGUCAGGGGUGAAAGGCCUGGGCUCAACCUGGGAACUGCCUUUGAAACUGCGGAGCUUGAGACCGGAAGAGGAUGGCGGAAUUCCCAGUGUAGAGGUGAAAUUCGU
rnacentral:rRNA from 1 species